CCAAACUGGGAAACUGGAAUCACCUGAUUUGAAAGUGGUAUAACUUCUUCAUCCCAACUCCUAUGAGAUUUAUUCAACUUCCUGGUUAUUCUCCACCACUUUAUGUAUCCAAAUCAAGCUUCUCACAAAGUGAUUCUGUAACGACCCGGUUUUCUUAACCAGAAUUGGUUUGAUUUUCCCUUUAAUUAAUUUGGAUUGAACCAAACCAUUUUCCUAAACCAAGCCUUAUAUAUAAUCGUAUAUAUCUUUUUCCCCUAAUAGAAAAGCCCUAGCCGUAUUCCUAUGCAGCCAUCUCCAUCAUCUUGUUCCUUGAUCUCUCCUUAUUUCAUUUGCUUCUCUUCUUCUCUUUAAUCAUUGGUCAUGAGCUCGAGCGUUUUGGCAACGGAGAAGACGUGAUGCUGUCACCAUUGCAGUCAUAACCAGCCUUCGCCGUUCAGCGCUCGGAGUGGUCCACCGGAGGAUUGUUCUUAACAAGUCACCACCGGAUCAAUCGUAGAUGAUGUCCAUGGAAUCACCCCUUGUUCACAUUGGUGUAUGUGGUGAACGGUGACGCGGAGGAGAAGACGCUUUCAUGAAUCGGAGCCGCCUUCCUCACCACCACCGCUUGUGGAUCUGUACCACCGUGAGCUGUGCGUCAGCGGUGGUGUAGUCAUGUCGUCGGAGUUGCGGCUCCGUCAAGACCAAGUGGUCUCAAGGUUUUAAGCGAUGCCUUGCUCGUUUCUUGCGCAAGAAAGCCAUCAUUGAACCUUAGGUUUGAUCACCUUCCUCACGUUCUUUUAAAUGUCACGUGACAUACCAAUUUAUGUGCCAAUUAUUAUUUUUUUUGUUAAUUCUUUGUUGUAUUUAUUUGUCUCUUAUUUUGAUGUGGUGCAUCGUUGGCGAGAUCGAGAUCCACGGUGAAACCUUAGCUUUCUUGCUGAUCGAGUCAUCUCGUUUAUUGUCGGAUAUUUUUCUGGCUUUCCGUUAUGGCUAAGGUGAGACCGACAGGCAGGAGUGAUUGCUAUCGGAUUGGUGCUUUGGGAGUUUUAUUUCUUUAAUUUUCAGACUUGCGGUUUUUAUGACUUUAUCGAUAUUUUCGGGUUUUAUUAUAUUAUUUGAAUUUACGACUUUGGAGUUGAUUUUAGAGAAGUAAUAAAUGGAGAUUUUGGA